rnacentral:rRNA from 1 species
AGAGUUUGAUCCUGGCUCAGGAUGAACGCUAGCGGCAGGCCUAAUACAUGCAAGUCGAACGGUGUAGCAAUACACAGUGGCGCACGGGUGCGUAACGCGUAUGCAACCUACCUUUCAGAGGGGGAUAGCCCGGGGAAACCCGGAUUAAUACCGCAUAAUAAAAGAGAGUGGCAUCAUUUUCUUUUGAAACAUUUAUGGCUGAAAGCGGGGCAUGCGUAAGAUUAGUUAGUUGGCGGGGUAGAAGCCCACCAAGACGAUGAUCUUUAGGGGUUCUGGGAGGAAGAUCCCCCACACUGGUACUGAGAUACGGACCAGACUCCUACGGGAGGCAGCAGUAGGGAAUAUUGGGCAAUGGAGGCAACUCUGACCCAGCCAUGCCGCGUGCAGGAAGAAGGCCUUCUGGGUUGUAAACUGCUUUUGGAAGGGAACAAAAUGACACUGCGGUGUAACUUGAGUGUACCUUCAGAAUAAGCACCGGCUAACUCCGUGCCAGCAGCCGCGGUAAUACGGAGGGUGCAAGCGUUGUCCGGAUUUAUUGGGUUUAAAGGGUGCGUAGGCGGGAGAUUAAGUCAGGGGUGAAAGACUGCAGCUCAACUGUAGCAGUGCCUUUGAUACUGAUUUUCUUGAGUACAGAUGAGGCUGGCGGAAUGGGUGGUGUAGCGGUGAAAUGCAUAGAUACCAUCCAGAACACCGAUUGCGAAGGCAGCCGGCUAAGCUGUUACUGACGCUGAGGCACGAAAGCGUGGGGAUCGAACAGGAUUAGAUACCCUAGUAGUCC